UCCAGACUCCUACGGGAGGCAGCAGUGGGGAAUAUUGCACAAUGGGGGAAACCCUGAUGCAGCGACGCCGCGUGAAGGAAGAAGUAUUUCGGUAUGUAAACUUCUAUCAGCAGGGAAGAAAAUGACGGUACCUGACUAAGAAGCCCCGGCUAACUACGUGCCAGCAGCCGCGGUAAUACGUAGGGGGCAAGCGUUAUCCGGAUUUACUGGGUGUAAAGGGAGCGUAGGCGGUUUAGCAAGUCAGAAGUGAAAGACCGGGGCUCAACUCCGGGACUGCUUUUGAAACUGUUGAACUAGAUUGCAGGAGAGGUAAGUGGAAUUCCUAGUGUAGCGGUGAAAUGCGUAGAUAUCAGGAGGAGCACCGGUGGCGAAGGCG
rnacentral:rRNA from 1 species